rnacentral:lncRNA from 1 species
AGUGGAGAUUUCCAUCACUUCGGCUGAGAGACCCACAGCAGCCACUCCUAGCCAAGGAUCCAGGCGCCGCUCUGUGGUGCACGUCCCCUCCCCACUGUCUGAGCAGGAGCUCCUUGGAGCUUCCAGGCGUGGUGCAUCCCUCCACAGCAUUCAGGUUUUGAGAUAAGGGGAAUCGACUUGCCUAAGUUUACACAGUGAAUGAAUGGAUUACCUCCUACUCACCUAAACCAGCCA